UACGUAGGGUGCGAGCGUUUAAUCGGAAUUACUGGGCGUAAAGCGUGCGCAGGCGGUUCUGAAAAGUCAGCUGUGAAAGCCCCGGGCUUAACCUGGGAAUUGCGGUUGAAACUACAGGGCUAGAAUCUGGCAGAGGGGGGGUGGAAUUCCACGUGUAGCAGUGAAAUGCGUAGAGAUGUGGAGGAACACCUGUGGCGAAGGCGCCUUGCUGGCCAAUUUCUGACGCUGAGGCGCGAAAGCGUGGGGAGCAAACAGG
rnacentral:rRNA from 1 species